rnacentral:rRNA from 6 species
GGGUUGUGAGGUUAAGCGACUAAGCGUACACGGUGGAUGCCCUGGCAGUCAGAGGCGAUGAAGGACGUGCUAAUCUGCGAUAAGCGUCGGUAAGGUGAUAUGAACCGUUAUAACCGGCGAUUUCCGAAUGGGGAAACCCAGUGUGUUUCGACACACUAUCAUUAACUGAAUCCAUAGGUUAAUGAGGCGAACCGGGGGAACUGAAACAUCUAAGUACCCCGAGGAAAAGAAAUCAACCGAGAUUCCCCCAGUAGCGGCGAGCGAACGGGGAGCAGCCCAGAGCCUGAAUCAGUGUGUGUGUUAGUGGAAGCGUCUGGAAAGGCGUGCGAUACAGGGUGACAGCCCCGUACACAAAAAUGCACAUGCUGUGAGCUCGAUGAGUAGGGCGGGACACGUGGUAUCCUGUCUGAAUAUGGGGGGACCAUCCUCCAAGGCUAAAUACUCCUGACUGACCGAUAGUGAACCAGUACCGUGAGGGAAAGGCGAAAAGAACCCCGGCGAGGGGAGUGAAAAAGAACCUGAAACCGUGUACGUACAAGCAGUGGGAGCACGCUUAGGCGUGUGACUGCGUACCUUUUGUAUAAUGGGUCAGCGACUUAUAUUCUGUAGCAAGGUUAACCGAAUAGGGGAGCCGAAGGGAAACCGAGUCUUAACUGGGCGUUAAGUUGCAGGGUAUAGACCCGAAACCCGGUGAUCUAGCCAUGGGCAGGUUGAAGGUUGGGUAACACUAACUGGAGGACCGAACCGACUAAUGUUGAAAAAUUAGCGGAUGACUUGUGGCUGGGGGUGAAAGGCCAAUCAAACCGGGAGAUAGCUGGUUCUCCCCGAAAGCUAUUUAGGUAGCGCCUCGUGAAUUCAUCUCCGGGGGUAGAGCACUGUUUCGGCAAGGGGGUCAUCCCGACUUACCAACCCGAUGCAAACUGCGAAUACCGGAGAAUGUUAUCACGGGAGACACACGGCGGGUGCUAACGUCCGUCGUGAAGAGGGAAACAACCCAGACCGCCAGCUAAGGUCCCAAAGUCAUGGUUAAGUGGGAAACGAUGUGGGAAGGCCCAGACAGCCAGGAUGUUGGCUUAGAAGCAGCCAUCAUUUAAAGAAAGCGUAAUAGCUCACUGGUCGAGUCGGCCUGCGCGGAAGAUGUAACGGGGCUAAACCAUGCACCGAAGCUGCGGCAGCGACACUAUGUGUUGUUGGGUAGGGGAGCGUUCUGUAAGCCUGUGAAGGUGUGCUGUGAGGCAUGCUGGAGGUAUCAGAAGUGCGAAUGCUGACAUAAGUAACGAUAAAGCGGGUGAAAAGCCCGCUCGCCGGAAGACCAAGGGUUCCUGUCCAACGUUAAUCGGGGCAGGGUGAGUCGACCCCUAAGGCGAGGCCGAAAGGCGUAGUCGAUGGGAAACAGGUUAAUAUUCCUGUACUUGGUGUUACUGCGAAGGGGGGACGGAGAAGGCUAUGUUGGCCGGGCGACGGUUGUCCCGGUUUAAGCGUGUAGGCUGGUUUUCCAGGCAAAUCCGGAAAAUCAAGGCUGAGGCGUGAUGACGAGGCACUACGGUGCUGAAGCAACAAAUGCCCUGCUUCCAGGAAAAGCCUCUAAGCAUCAGGUAACAUCAAAUCGUACCCCAAACCGACACAGGUGGUCAGGUAGAGAAUACCAAGGCGCUUGAGAGAACUCGGGUGAAGGAACUAGGCAAAAUGGUGCCGUAACUUCGGGAGAAGGCACGCUGAUAUGUAGGUGAAGCGACUUGCUCGUGGAGCUGAAAUCAGUCGAAGAUACCAGCUGGCUGCAACUGUUUAUUAAAAACACAGCACUGUGCAAACACGAAAGUGGACGUAUACGGUGUGACGCCUGCCCGGUGCCGGAAGGUUAAUUGAUGGGGUUAGCCGCAAGGCGAAGCUCUUGAUCGAAGCCCCGGUAAACGGCGGCCGUAACUAUAACGGUCCUAAGGUAGCGAAAUUCCUUGUCGGGUAAGUUCCGACCUGCACGAAUGGCGUAAUGAUGGCCAGGCUGUCUCCACCCGAGACUCAGUGAAAUUGAACUCGCUGUGAAGAUGCAGUGUACCCGCGGCAAGACGGAAAGACCCCGUGAACCUUUACUAUAGCUUGACACUGAACAUUGAGCCUUGAUGUGUAGGAUAGGUGGGAGGCUUUGAAGUGUGGACGCCAGUCUGCAUGGAGCCGACCUUGAAAUACCACCCUUUAAUGUUUGAUGUUCUAACGUUGACCCGUAAUCCGGGUUGCGGACAGUGUCUGGUGGGUAGUUUGACUGGGGCGGUCUCCUCCUAAAGAGUAACGGAGGAGCACGAAGGUUGGCUAAUCCUGGUCGGACAUCAGGAGGUUAGUGCAAUGGCAUAAGCCAGCUUGACUGCGAGCGUGACGGCGCGAGCAGGUGCGAAAGCAGGUCAUAGUGAUCCGGUGGUUCUGAAUGGAAGGGCCAUCGCUCAACGGAUAAAAGGUACUCCGGGGAUAACAGGCUGAUACCGCCCAAGAGUUCAUAUCGACGGCGGUGUUUGGCACCUCGAUGUCGGCUCAUCACAUCCUGGGGCUGAAGUAGGUCCCAAGGGUAUGGCUGUUCGCCAUUUAAAGUGGUACGCGAGCUGGGUUUAGAACGUCGUGAGACAGUUCGGUCCCUAUCUGCCGUGGGCGCUGGAGAACUGAGGGGGGCUGCUCCUAGUACGAGAGGACCGGAGUGGACGCAUCACUGGUGUUCGGGUUGUCAUGCCAAUGGCACUGCCCGGUAGCUAAAUGCGGAAGAGAUAAGUGCUGAAAGCAUCUAAGCACGAAACUUGCCCCGAGAUGAGUUCUCCCUGACUCCUUGAGAGUCCUGAAGGAACGUUGAAGACGACGACGUUGAUAGGCCGGGUGUGUAAGCGCAGCGAUGCGUUGAGCUAACCGGUACUAAUGAACCGUGAGGCUUAACCUUACAACGCCGAAGGUGUUU